ACCAGGCGUGGUGGCACAUGCCUGUAAUCCCAGCGGCUUGGGAGGCUGAGGCAGGGAGAUCUCAAGUUCAAAACUAGCCUCAGCAACUUAGCCAAGCCCUAAGCAACAUAGUGAGACCCUGUCUCAA
rnacentral:sRNA from 1 species